rnacentral:rRNA from 1 species
GACGGGGGGGGCAAGUGUUCUUCGGAAUGACUGGGCGUAAAGGGCACGUAGGCGGUGAAUCGGGUUGAAAGUGAAAGUCGCCAAAAAGUGGCGGAAUGCUCUCGAAACCAAUUCACUUGAGUGAGACAGAGGAGAGUGGAAUUUCGUGUGUAGGGGUGAAAUCCGUAAAUAUACGAAGGAACGCCAAAAGCGAAGGCAGCUCUCUGGGUCCCUACCGACGCUGGGGUGCGAAGGCCAGGGGAGCGAACGGG